CAACUUACCCUCUGGACUGGCAUAACCCCGGGAAACUGGGGAUAAUUCCAGAUAGACCAGAGAUGCUGGAAUGCUCUUUGGUUAAAAGUUUUUAACGCCAUAGGAUAGGUCUGCGGUCUAUCAGGUUGUAGUGGGUGUAACGUACCUACUAGCCGACUACGGAUACGGGUUGUGAGAGCAAGAGCCCGGAGAUGGAUUCUGAGACACGAAUCCAGGCCCUACGGGGUGCAGCAGGCGCGAACACUUUACAAUGCGGGAAACCGCGAUAAGGGAACCCCGAGUGCCAGUACUAAGUGCUGGCUGUCYARAUGAAUAAAUAUCAUUURAUAGCAAGGGCCGGGCAAGACCGGUGCCAGCCGCCGCGGUAACACCGGCGGCCCGAGUGGUAACCGAUUUUAUUGGGUCUAAAGGGUCCGUAGCCGGCUUGAUAAGUCCUUUGGGAAAUCUGGUAGCUUAACUAUCAGGCUUCUAAGGGAUACUGUCAGGCUUGGGACCGGGAGAGGUAAGGGGUACUCCAGGGGUAGGAGUGAAAUCUUGUAAUCCCUGGGGGACCAUCUGUGGCGAAGGCGCCUUACCAGAACGGGUCCGACGGUGAGGGACGAAAGCUAGGGGAGCAAACCGGAUUAGAUACCCGGGUAGUCCUAGCUGUAAACGAUGCUCGCUAGGUGUCAGGCACGGUGCGACCGUGUCUGGUGCCGUAGGGAAGCCGCUAAGCGAGCCACCUGGGAAGUACGGUCGCAAGGCUGAAACUUAA
rnacentral:rRNA from 1 species